CUGAGCUGAAGUCCGAUGCUUAACUGACUGAGCCACCCAGGUAAAUGUGGAACCCAUCUCUCCUCAAGCCUUUUGCGGGGUCAUGGCACGCCCUCUGGUGGCCCAUCUCUUUCAAUGGCUUUACCUGCCCCGAUGAGCAAUCUUUCAGAAGCCGUCUCCUGGUGAGGACUUCUCUUUUCAACUGAAAAGGAGGAUCCACAGGGUCUCAUCAGUGUUUGUGCACCGGGCAGAUUGGGCGUUUCAAGGAGCCGGAGUUCUCACUAUGCUGAACAUGAUCAACA